AUAUCAAUAAGCGGAGGAAAAGAAACCAACAGGGAUUGCCCUAGUAACGGCGAGUGAAGCGGCAACAGCUCAAAUUUGAAAUCUGGCUUCGGCCCGAGUUGUGAUUUGUAGAGGAUGCUUUGGGCGCGGCUCUAACUGAGUUCCCUGGAACGGGACGCCACAGAGGGUGAGAGCCCCGUAUAGUUAGAUGCCUAGCCUAUGUAAAGCUCCUUCGACGAGUCGAGUAGUUUGGGAAUGCUGCUCUAAAUGGGAGGUAAAUUUCUUCUAAAGCUAAAUAUUGGCCAGAGACCGAUAGCGCACAAGUAGAGUGAUCGAAAGAUGAAAAGCACUUUGAAAAGAGGGUUAAAUAGCACGUGAAAUUGUUGAAAGGGAAGCGCUUGUGACCAGACUUGCGCCGGGCAGAUCAUCCGGUGUUCUCACCGGUGCACUCUGCCCGGCUCAGGCCAGCAUCGGUUCUCGUGGGGGGAUAAAGGUCCCGGGAACGUAGCUCCUCCGGGAGUGUUAUAGCCCGGGGCGUAAUGCCCUCGUGGGGACCGAGGUUCGCGCAUCUGCAAGGAUGCUGGCGUAAUGGUCAUCAGCGA
rnacentral:rRNA from 1 species